rnacentral:rRNA from 1 species
GUACACGCUGUGACUAGCAUAUCAAUAAGCGGAGGAAAAGAAACUAACAAGGAUUCCCCUAGUAACGGCGAGUGAAGCGGGAAGAGCUCAAAUUUGAAAUCUUAAAGGGUUUCCCUUUACGAAUUGUAGUUUAAAGAAGUGUUUUCUGUUGAGGUUUUGGUAAAAGUUCUUUGGAAUAGGACAUCAUAGAGGGUGAGAAUCCCGUAUUUGACCUUUACUUUCAACUUUGUGAUACACUUUCAAAGAGUCGGAUUGUUUGGGAAUGCAGUCCAAAAUGGGUGGUAAAUUUCAUCUAAAGCUAAAUAUUGGCGAGAGACCGAUAGCGAACAAGUACCUGUGAGGGAAAGAUGAAAAGAACUUUGAAAAGAGAGUUAAACAGUACGUGAAAUUGUCAAAAGGGAAGCGUUUGACACCAGUGUUGUUUUUCUGAAAAUCAAUUAAAGAACUGUUUAUGCUAAGUUGUUUAGACUUUAUCAGCUAACUGUUUAGUUUUGAGCUUUUCUUUAAUGCACUUUUCAGUUAACAAGUCAACAUCAAUUUCUUUUGCUGUAAAAAAGCUUGAGGAAGGUGGCUUGAGAUUCGUCUUAAGUGUUUAUAGCCUCUUGCCUAUGCAGUCGGAGAGAUUGAGGUCUGCAGCGUAGAUCCUUCGGGGCUAAAUGCAUUUGUGCUAAGUUAUAGCAUUUUAUAGACAACUUGUUGACUAUGAUUUGUCUUGUAGCUUACUCGCUUAUGUUAUUUUACCUACGCUUAGGAUGUUGAGUCGUAGAGCACGCAG